UAUACAUUAAACAUAUAGGAUGGGCAUUUAUUAAGUAUUCACUCACAUGAUCACAGGGUUCCACAAUAGGCCAUCUGCAGGCUGAGUAGCAAGAAGAGCCAGUCCGAAUUCUAAAACUGAAGAACCUGGAGCGUGAUGUUUGAGGGCAGGAAGCAU